rnacentral:rRNA from 1 species
AAAGACAUCGCCCCUUAUUCCAUAAGGGGUAAAUACUGCCCCCUGAAUUAUCUUUAAAUGGCCGCGGUAUCCUAACCGUGCUAAGGUAGCAUAAUCACUUGCCUUUUAAUUGAAGGCUAGAAUGAAAGUACCGACGGGAAAGAACUGAUUCAGCUCUAUUCUAUGAACUUUAAAUUAAGAGUAAAAAUGCCCCAUUGAUUUAGAAGGACGACAAGACCCUAUAAAACUUUACCACUUUGUGUUGCUCUAAAAUAGGAAUAUCUUAAACACCUAGUAGUUAGCUGGGGCGGCCAACCCCCUCCGGGGGGUAUUUUAACACAGUGUGUGACCCCAAGAACCUAGAUAAAUAGAAAGACCAAGUUACUUUAGGGAUAACAGCGUAAUUGCCUCGUAGAGCCCCCAUCGAUGAGGCCGCUUACGACCUCGAUGUUGAAUUGGGGAAACCCCUUGAGAGCAGCCCCCCAAGAGGGAAGUCUGUUCGACUUUUAAUCCCCCACGUGAUCUGAUUCCAGACCGAA